GCGACUUUAGCUCAGCUAGUAGAGCAUGAUACUUUGGUGAAUUCAACCAAUACUUUCAGAUGCUUGUUCAAGUCAGGCUGGUCGUA